rnacentral:rRNA from 1 species
AUUGAACGCUGGCGGCAGGCCUAACACAUGCAAGUCGAGCGGAGCGGAGGACGGGUGAGUAAUGCCUAGGAAUCUGCCUGGUCGUGGGGGAUAACGUACGGAAACGGGCGCUAAUAGCGCAUACUAGCAGAUGAGACUAGGUCGGAUUAGCUAGGUGGUGGGGUAAAGGCCUACCAAGGCGACGAACAGUAACUGGUCUGAGAGGAUGAUCAGUCAACCUGGAACUGAGACACGGUCCAGACUCCUACGGGAGGCAGCAGUGGGGAAUAUUGGACAAUUGGCGAAAGCCUGAUCCAGCCAUGCAGCGUGUGUGAAGAAGGUCUUCGGAUUGUAAAGCAUUUUAAGUUGGGAGGCGUUACCAACAGAAUAAGCACCGGCUAACUUCGUGCCAGCAGCCGCGGUAAUAC